GUGGAACAAGGCUAUCUGAGAGCGGUUCUCCCUGGCCCUCCCGGUCAUGGAAUGGCGUAACUGGAACCGACGCUUAUGGAACAAGGGAUGGAGACAAAAACCUAAUUGGUGACCAAGAGUGGUGGCUUUUGCCUGGAAUCCCAGCACAUUGGGAGGCCGAAGCAGGAGGAUCACUUGAGGCCAGGAGUUUGACACGGGCCUGGGCAACAUAGCAAGACCCUCACCUCUAUUACAAGUAUAAGAAAUAUGCCAGACGCGGUGGCUCAUGCCUGUAAUCCCAGCACUUUAGAAGGCUGAAGCGGGUGGAUCGCUUGAGACCAGGAGUUGGAGACCAGCCUGGUCAACAUGGAGAAACCCCAUCCCUACGAAAAAUACAAAAAUCAUCCUGGUGUGGUAGCAUAUGCGUUAUUCGUAUCUCCUCAAGAGGCUGAAGCAUAGGAAUUGUGUGAACCCAGGAGGCGGAGGUUGCAGUGAGUCGAGAUUGGGCCACUCCAUUCUCCAGUCAGAGCAAGACUCUGUCUCAAUAAAUAAAUAAAUAAAUAAAUAAACAAA